UGGAUGAACUGCGAGGAUGCCGGCGGUC
rnacentral:piRNA from 1 species